rnacentral:tRNA from 1 species
UCCCUGCUGGCUCAGUCAGAAAGAGUCUGCCUGCAAUACAGGAGACCCAGGUUCCACCCCUGGGUUGGGAA